CACACAUGGCACAUUUGAAGCAUUAGACUAGCAUCUGCCUUUUAUAACCUCUCUUGUUAUAAUUCAUCUCAGACCACCACUGGCAUAGUGCAUGAUGAUGCCAGUUAAGAUGAGGUGUAGGAUAUAUGAUUCCAGGUGGGAUUGGGUGUAGGAUGUAUGAUUCCAGGUAGAAUUGGGUGUAGGGUAUAUGAUUCCAGGUAGGAUUUGGGUGCAGUAUAUAUGAUUCCAGGUAGUAUUGGGUGUAGGAUAUAUGAUUCCAGGUAGAAUUGGGUGUAGUAUGUAGGAUUGGGUGUAGGAUAUAUGAUUCCAGGUAGAAUUGGGUGUAGGAUGUAGGAUUGGGUGUAGGAUAUAUGAUUCCAGGUAGAAUUGGGUGUAGGGUAUAUGAUUCCAGGUAGGAUUGGGUGUAGGGUAUAUGAUUCCAGGUAGGAUUGGGUGUAGGGUAUAUGAUUCCAGGUAGGAUUGGGUGUAGGAUGUAUGAUUCCAGGUAGGAUUGGGUGUAGGAUAUAUGAUUCCAGGUAGGAUUGGGUGUAGGGUAUAUGAUUCCAGGUAGGAUUGGGUGUAGGGUAUAUGAUUCCAGGUAGGAUUGGGUGUAGGAUGUAUGAUUCCAGGUAGGAUUGGGUGUAGGAUAUAUGAUUCCAGGUAGGAUUGGCUGUAGGGUAUAUGAUUCCAGUUAGGAUUGGGUGUAGGAUAUAUGAUUCCAGGUAGAAUUGGGUGUAGGAUGUAUGAUUCCAGGUAGAAUUGGGUGUAGGAUAUAUGAUUCCAGGUAGGAUUGUGUGCAGUAUAUAUGAUUCCAGGUAGUAUUGGGUGUAGGAUAUAUGAUUCCAGGUAGAAUUGGGUGUAGGGUAUAUGAUUCCAGGUAGGAUUGGGUGUAGGGUAUAUGAUUCCAGGUAGAAUUGGGUGUAGAAUAUAUGAUUCCAGGUAGGAUUGGGUGUAGGAUGUAGGAUUGGGUGUAGGAUAUAUGAUUCCAGGUAGGAUUGGGUGUAGGAUAUAUGGAUCCAGGUAGGAUUGGGUGUAGGGUAUAUGAUUCCAGGUAGGAUUGGGUGUAGGAUGUAUGAUUCCAGGUAGGAUUGGGUGUAGGGUAUAUGAUUCCGCUGUUGCUGGAGCUCUCUUUCUCGUUCCUCUCUCUUUCUCUCUCUCGCUCUUUCUCUCUCUUUCUCUCUUUCUCUCUCUAUACUUGUCUUUCUCAGGUUGUGGCGUAGUCAUACUCAUAUGUACUGAUUGUUCUGUGCUCUCUCUGUCCCUCACCAUCUCUCCCUUCCCAUCUCUCCUUCCACAUCUCUCCCUCCCCAUCCCUCUCUCCAUAG
rnacentral:lncRNA from 1 species